rnacentral:rRNA from 1 species
GUACGGAAGGCAGCAGGUGGGGAAUAUUGCACAAUGGGCGCAAGCCUGAUGCAGCCAUGCCGCGUGUAUGAAGAAGGCCUUCGGGUUGUAAAGUACUUUCAGUCGUGAGGAAGGUGUUAAGGUUAAUAACCUUAGCAAUUGACGUUAGCGACAGAAGAAGCACCGGCUAACUCCGUGCCAGCAGCCGCGGUAAUACGGAGGGUGCGAGCGUUAAUCGGAAUUACUGGGCGUAAAGGGCACGCAGGCGGUUAAUUAAGUUGGAUGUGAAAUCCCCGGGCUUAACCUGGGAAUGGCAUUCAAGACUGGUUAGCUAGAGUCUUGUAGAGGGGGUAGAAUUCCAUGUGUAGCGGUGAAAUGCGUAGAGAUGUGGAGGAAAUCCGGUGGCGAAGGCGGCCCCUGGGCAAAGACUGACGCUCAUGUGCAAAGCGUGGGGAGCAAACAGGAUUAGAUACC